CCAUAACCUAACUAAAACAUAAAAAUUGAACUCUUCACCAAAUGCUUGCUCAGGAGUAUCAUUUAAGUCACCCUGCAGAGUCGAACAGAUAAGCAUACAAAUUAGAACAUGGAUUAGAGCUUGAGAAUGAAUAAAGAAAAAAUACAACAUAUAGCAAAGCAAAUAAAUCUUUUGUAAUGAAAUGGAAGUCAAGAAAUUACCAUCACAUAGAAGGCUGAAAAAACUAAUGUCGCAGCACCAGAUGUUACGCAAACAUAGCUUAAUGUGUACAACUGUUAAUUCAAAUGAAUGGUUCAACAUCAGAAAAAAUUAGGACGGAUGUUUGGUUAGAUAGUAAAUUUCAACCAACAAUGAGGUAAGAUUUCAUACCAUUGCUUCAAUCUAGAAAGAUGAUCCUAAAAUAUAAAAAAGUGAAGAGGUGAGCAGAAGUUAAGGAGAUUUGAAGCACCAGUUGGUUACUUUGAGUCACAGGUUUUACCCGAAAGUGUACUAGUACAUGUGCGUAAUGCAAUCCGAUGAUUGCAGAUAAAAUAGCA
rnacentral:lncRNA from 1 species